rnacentral:rRNA from 1 species
UUGAUCCUGGCUCAGGAUGAACGCUAGCGGCGCGCUUAAAUGCAUGCAAGUCGAGCGAUGAGACUCCUACGGGAGCACAUCAGCGGCAGACGGGUGAGUAACACGUAGAUGACGUACCCUCAAGACGGGGAUAACGGAUGGAAACAUGCGCUAAUACCGGAUGACCUUACGAUGUCAGAAUGGUAAGGAAAGCUACGGCGCUUGAGGAGCGGUCUGCGGCCCAUCAGCUAGUUGGUAGGGUAAAGGCCUACCAAGGCGAAGACGGGUAGGGGGUGUGAGAGCACGGNCCCCCACAAUGGGACUGAGACACGGCCCAUACUCCUACGGGAGGCAGCAGCAGGGAAUAUUGCACAAUGGACGGAAGUCUGAUGCAGCGACGCCGCGUGAGUGAAGAAGGCCUUCGGGUUGUAAAACUCUUUUGAGGGGGAAGAGCGAGGACGGUACCCCUGGAAUAAGCGUCGGCUAACUACGUGCCAGCAGCCGCGGUAAGACGUAGGACGCGAGCGUUAUCCGGAUUUACUGGGCGUAAAGCGUCUGUAGGCGGAUGUGUAAGUUGGGCGUGAAAGCUCCGGGCUUAACCCGGAGAGGCCGUUCAAUACUGCAUAACUUGAGGGUGUCAGAGGGGAGCGGAAUUCCCGGUGUAGCGGUAAAAUGCGCAGAGAUCGGGAGGAACACCAGUGGCGGAGGCGGUUCCCUGGGGCACACCUGACGCUGAGAGACGAAAAGCUAGGGGAGCGAACAGGAUUAGAGACCCUGGUAGUCCUAGCCCUAAACGAUG